CUUCGCGGGGUCGCGGCUUUCGGGUCGCGGUUUCGCGGGGGCGCGCGUUCGUCUCGUUUUUUGCGUCGCUAAACGGCGUCGGAGGCGUCUCUCGUCGGAGGCGAAAUCGUUUUUCGACGGGUUGCGCCCUUUUUCGUCGGAUUGCAAGAUUUUACUUUGAAUAAAUUAGAGCGUUCAAAGCAGGCGAAAUCGUCUUGAAUACGUUAGCAUGGGAUAAUAGAAUAGGACCGUAAGAAUUUUUUUCGGUUUAACGUUUACUGGUUUCUAAAGCCGAGGUAAUGAUUAAUAGGGACAGUUGGGGUCGCUCGUACUCGGCGGUCAGAGGUGAAAUUCUAAGACCCGCCGAAGACGAACAAGUGCGAAGGCAUUCGACAAGGAUGUUUUCUUUAAUCAAGAACGAAAGUUAUGGGAUCGAAGAUGAUCAGAUACCGUCGUAGUCAUAACCGUAAACUAUGUUGACUCGGGAUCCGAAGAAGUUACAUGGAUGACUCUUCGGGCACCGUGUGCGAAAGCACAAGUAUUCGAACUCCGGGGGGAGUAUGGUCGCAAGGCUGAAACUUAAAGGAAUUGACGGAAGGGCACCACCAGGUGUGGAAUCUGCGGCUUAAUUUGACCCAACACGGGGAAACUUACCCAGUCCGGACGCUACGAGGAUUGACAGAUUGAUAGUUCUUUCUUGAUUUUGUGGAAGCCGGUGCAUGGCCGUUUUUAGUUGGUGGAGUGAUUUGUCUGGUUAAGUCCGAUAACGAACGAGACCUAAUUUUGUUAAAUAGUACUGCCAACAAGGGGGUCGCCGGUCGUUUCGGUCGCGGGUUUUCGCCCGCGCUCGUGCGAUCGGGGCCUCCGCUCGUUUGUUGGUAGCUAGAUUUACUUCUUAGAGAGACUCUUGGUCGAUAACAGCAGCCAAUGGAAGCUUUAGGCAAAAACAGGUCUGUGAUGCCGCUAGAUGUCUGGGGCUGCACGCGCGUUACACUGACGUGUUCAACGAGUAUUUUAGAAUUACCUGGCCCGAGGGGGUUUCCGGCAAUCUCUAAAAGCACGUCGUGAUGGGGAUCGUGCCUUGUAACUAUUGCACGUGAACGAGGAAUACCUAGUAAGGGCAAGUCAUCAACUUGCCCUGACUACGUCCCUGCCCUUUGUACACACCGCCCGUCGCUUCUACCGAUCGAACUACUCGAUGAGGACUCGGGAUGCGGAGCGAUGUCUCGGUUCUGCCGAGCGCGUUUCGCAGAACCUGU
rnacentral:rRNA from 1 species